GAGCGCGAAUGGAGCAAUCCUAGUAGAGCGGCGCACGGGUGCGUAACACGUGGGUAAUCUGCCUCAAAGACCGGAAUAACCUGCCGAAAGGCAAGCUAAUACCGGAUAAGCCUACAGGCUCUUCGGAGCCCGAAGGAAAAGGUGGCCUCUGUAUACAAGCUAUCACUUUGAGAUGAGCCCGCGGCCCAUCAGCUAGUUGGCGGGGUAAUGGCCCACCAAGGCAACGACGGGUAGCUGGUCUGAGAGGACGAUCAGCCACACUGGAACUGAGACACGGUCCAGACUCCUACGGGAGGCAGCAGUGGGGAAUUUUGCACAAUGGGCGAAAGCCUGAUGCAGCAACGCCGCGUGUGUGAUGAAGGUCUUCGGAUUGUAAAGCACUUUCGACCGGGACGAACACCCGUUGGCUAACAUCCAACGGUCUGACUGUACCGGGAGAAGAAGCACCGGCUAACUCUGUGCCAGCAGCCGCGGUAAU
rnacentral:rRNA from 1 species